rnacentral:rRNA from 1 species
GAUGAACGCUGGCGGCGUGCCUAAUACAUGCAAGUCGAGCGAACAGACGAGGAGCUUGCUCCUUUGACGUUAGCGGCGGACGGGUGAGUAACACGUAGGUAACCUACCUAUAAGACUGGGAUAACUUCGGGAAACCGGAGCUAAUACCGGAUAAUAUUUCGAACCGCAUGGUUCGAUAGUGAAAGAUGGCUUUGCUGUCACUUAUAGAUGGACCUGCGCCGUAUUAGCUAGUUGGUAAGGUAACGGCUUACCAAGGCAACGAUACGUAGCCGACCUGAGAGGGUGAUCGGCCACACUGGAACUGAGACACGGUCCAGACUCCUACGGGAGGCAGCAGUAGGGAAUCUUCCGCAAAGGGCGAAAGCCUGACGGAGCAACGCCGCGUGAGUGAUGAAGGUCUUCGGAUCGUAAAACUCUGUUAUUAGGGAAGAACAAACGUGUAAGUAACUAUGCACGUCUUGACGGUACCUAAUCAGAAAGCCACGGCUAACUACGUG